rnacentral:rRNA from 1 species
UACGGAGGAUCCGAGCGUUAUCCGGAUUUAUUGGGUUUAAAGGGUGCGUAGGUGGCUUGUUAAGUCAGGGGUGAAAGACGGUAGCUCAACUAUCGCAGUGCCCUUGAUACUGAUGGGCUUGAAUGAACUAGAGGUAGGCGGAAUGUGACAAGUAGCGGUGAAAUGCAUAGAUAUGUCACAGAACACCAAUUGCGAAGGCAGCUUACUAUGGUUUUAUUGACACUGAGGCACGAAAGCGUGGGGAUCAAACAGG